GAUCAUGGCUCAGGACGAACGCUGGCGGCGUGCCUAAUACAUGCAAGUCGAACGAACCGCGACUAGGUGCUUGCACUUGGUCAAGGUGAGUGGCGAACGGGUGAGUAACACGUGGGGUAACCUACCUCAUAGUGGGGGAUAACAGUCGGAAACGACUGCUAAUACCGCAUAGGACAUGGAAUCACAUGAUUCCGUGAGGAAAGGUGGCGCAAGCUAUCGCUAAGAGAUGGACCCGCGGUG
rnacentral:rRNA from 1 species